UCCUUUGCUCAUUUCUAAAUUCAGUUGUGAUAUUUCUACAGAUCAUCCCUGGAAUGACUUUAACUCACAAUGAAUUUGUAUCCACAGGAGGCCGAGCAAGACUCUUACUUGUGUCUUCAUGAUUUUUCUGCUGUAUGGACACAGAUAGAGGUCAGGUGUCUUCAAAUAUUGUGGGCUACUACCCUUAGAGUGGGCUCAGACCUUCUGGCUGCAUUUCAUGAAAGGAGUUCAGGUGGACAAGAGAAGGUUGAGACCUUGACCUUGUGUGGAUCAACUAUUUGA
rnacentral:lncRNA from 1 species